rfam:Pyrenophora tritici-repentis Pt-1C-BFP supercont1.48 mitochondrial scaffold, whole genome shotgun sequence.
GAAAAUGGUAGAAGAAUUUCUAUAAAAAAAAACGAAGUGAAUUGAAGUAUCUUAUUAGCUUCAGGAAAAUAAAUCAAACGAGAUUCUAUUAGUAGUGUGAAUGAAAAUAGAUAGAGGCUUAAAGUAAAAUGGAUUAAUCUGUUUGAAUAUAGGGGAACCUUCCUCUAAGCCUUAAUAUAAUAUACAAGAAAUAGAGAAUAGUACUGUGAAGGAAGUAUGUAAAAUAGUAGUCUUAUAAGCAGCUCAAGGUAAGUUUAAUAAACAUAUGAGAGCGUACCUUUUGUAUAAUGGGUCAGCAAGUUCUAGUUAGAUGCAAGCAAAUAGUGAUUAGUGGUGAUAUAUUAAAUGAGAAAUCCAUAAGAUAGACAAGAUAAUAUAAAUACACAAAAAAGAAUCAAUUUGCCUAGAUAAUCCAAUUAUUAAGUAAUGAAUUAGUAUCUAAUUAGAGACCCGAAGAGUAGUGAUCUUACCAUGGUCAGGCUUAUAAAAGGCCGAAUGGGUAACAUAAAGAAAUGAGCCUCUUUAUUAGCUCAAGUAGAAGUGAACCUUCUGCUAAAGAUCGUCAAAUUGACGGGAAACCCCUAAAGCAAUCUUAACUAACUUAGUAUGGUAACAUAAAUAAGGGCGCAGGUAAUGACUCGCGGUAUAGUAACAUCAAGAUUGAUUACGAAAGUGAAUGGGCAAUCCGCAGCCAAGCAGCAUAAUGGUUUUACAUUGUUAUGGUGUGCAGUUCAUCGACUAGAUGGUGAUCGGCGAAAGCUUAAGAUAUAGUCAAACCUCUGUGGAAACAUAGCAGGAUAAUAUAAUUUUAUGAAGUUGAUAGUAUAGAUUUUUUUAAUAAAACAUAUUUAGUUUUGUUGUGAACUAAAUAUAUUUCAGGUAUCUCACAACAGUUUUCGACCUGGUCGACGUUAUUAUUUUCUUAGACAUUAUUAUUUUAUUACCUUCAAAUUAACUAAUUUGAACAAUAGACGAGUAAAUUAUGGCUAGUAUAUACCCGUAGCAGCUACAAGCAAGGUACAAGUAGAGAGGUACUCGGGCCACUGAAAGGCUAGCACCCUAACUCAGUGAUAGAAAGGAUAACCCUCAAAAUAAUGAAUGUCAACCUUGGUAAAAAAAACAAUUUAAAUUUUAAAGCUACUACAAUAUUCUUUCUACAAACAAUAAAAACUUUUUCUAGGUCAUUUUCUUCAGGUAAUAUUGGUAAUUUCAAACCAGUUGUUAUUUAUGAUAACACUGAUGUGGACAAAAUACGGAUCUUAACAGAAAACCGUAAUAAAGUAGCUGUAUAUCGUUGAGUAAACAAGGUAAACGGUAAUAUUUACAUUGGUAGUUCUACUAAUUUACAUGUUAGAAUGUAUACAUAUUUUAGUUUACGUUCUCUAGCAAAAAGUAAUAGACCUAUUGAUAGAGCUCUUUUAAAACACGGGUAAGAAAAAAAAGUAAAAAAAAUUCUCCUACCCCUGCUACCCCCAACUACGGAGUCGUUGGAGGGUCCGGGAAUUUUUUUUAUUUUUUUUCUUGCUAACUUUAGAUUAGAAAUCUUGGAGUAUUGUUCCUAUGAAGAUGUACUUAAAAGAGAGCAAUAUUACUUAGAUCUUUGUAAACCUCAUUAUAAUAUAGCUACUAUCGCAGGCUCUACUUUAGGAUAUAAACAUUCUCAAGAAUCACUAGAAAAAAUGAGAAACAUUAUUCUAAGUGAUGAAGUAAGAGAAAGAAAAGCUCUUUCUACUGUUAAUGCUUCAAUAGCUAAUAGAUUGCCUAUUAGUGUUAAAAAUAUAAUAACUAAUGAUGUAACAAGUUAUGCUAGCAUGACUGAGGCAGGUAAAGCAUUAGGUGUAACAAGAGCUACAGUAAGUCAAGCAUUGUUGCAUAAUAGACUAAUUAAAAAAACGUAUUCUAUCUGUAAAAUUAAAUAAAAACUUCAAAAAAUAAAAUUAUAUUAUCUGUUAAAUGGAUAGUAAUAAAAUGCUAUUUAGGGAGAAAAGUCUCAGCUCGGCCUAAGUUGGAAUAAAUAAAAUUCCACGGCCAAAGAGAUAAUUUGUAUCGUUGUAAAGAUAUCCAAAGAACUGUGGUAAGUUAGUGAAAGACAAUCCUGACUACUAUAGCUGGUUUUCCGCGAAACAUAUGUAAGUAUGUAGUUUAAAUAACAUCAUAGCAGGUACAGAACUGUAAUCUCGGACAAUUUGUGCAUUAAUAUCCUAUUAGGGUAUAUAAUGCCUUGUGCAUAUGGGGGGGUCGUGAAGACUCUAUUCGCGAGUAUUUGCUCUCGGAAGGGCAAUGAUGAGUGUUGAACUAUCAGACAUUUAACGAUAAGGUUGUGUGUCAAAAGGGAAACAGCCCAGAACAAGUGUUUAAGGUUCCAAAGUUUUUGUUAAGUGAAAGUAAGGAAGUAUUUAAACUAUACAACCAGGAAAUAGGCUUAGAAGCGGCCAUUUUUUAAAGACCUCGUAACAGAGCACUGGUUCAAAUGGUUAAUUCGUUAACCUAAUUAGUUAAAAGCGCCGAAGAUAUAACGGAUCUAAAACAAAACACCGACACCUUGUCCAUAAUAAUAAUAUUAGGUUAAAUCCUAGUUUACUAUACUUAAAGGUUAUUUAAGUAUUAUUUAUGGGGUAGCGGAACAUUGGGUAAAUAGGUUUUAAAUAGAUAGCACUCCCUACCCUUAGCUUAAUUGAAUUUGGGGAGAGGUCUUUUAUUAAUGUAUAAUAACUGACUAUAGAGGGUUACGUCUAUUUCAUAAUUACAUUUGUAAUUUGCUCGCUAUAUAGCGGGUUACCAUACAUAUCCCAAGUGAGAAUGCUGACACGAGUAACGAAAAAGAGGGAGAAAUUGGGCAAACCCAAUUGAACAGGAUAGAUUGAAGUACGUAGAUAAACUAAAUAGAUGAUACGACCCAACCUGUUGUAAGGUCCUCUCGCCUUAAGCUUAUGGGAAAGUUAAUCGGUCUCUAAAUUUAACCUAAAGGAUAAAAUGAUGAGGAAAAGUAUAUGUGACAACAUAAAAUGGAGUAAAAUGUUCUGGAAAAGCAUAUACUAAGCAAGGAAGGAGAAAUGGUUCUAGGUUAUAAACUAAAAAGAAGAUACUAGGCAUUUCUUUCUAUAGGGAAUAAACUAGAACAGAUGAUACUAGUUUCCUUGUUUAUACUAAAACCGUACCUAAAAACUACCACAAGUAAGCUAGUAGAGAAUACGAAGGCGUUUGAGCUAACAAUCAUUAAGGAACUCGGCAAAUUGACACCGUAACUGCGGGAGAAGGUGUGCCAUUCCUACUGAUUAAUAUCAGUUUAGGAAGAGGAGACAUAAAAUGGUGUUGCACGACUGUUUAAUUAAAACACAGCACUUUGCGUAAGAUGUAAAUCAAUGUAUAGAGUGCGCUAUCUGCCCAAUGAUGGCUGGUUAACGGAUUUACUUAGACGACUAAAAUAGCCUAGGUUUUGAAGGAACCCCCAUUUAAUGGCGGCCUUACCUAUAAGGGUCCUAAGGUAGCGAAAUACCUUGGCAUUUAAAUGAUGUCGCGCAUGAAUGAUCUCACGAUGCAACAGCUGUCUCAAUGAUUGGCUCAGUGAAACUGGAAUGGCAGUGAAGAUACUGCCUAUCUCUAGAUAGACGAGAAGACCCCAUGCAGCUUUACUGUUACUAGUUAUAGGGUAUAAUUUAACAGGUUUUAGGGAAUAAGGUAGUUGAACGACAAAAUUGAAACACCUUUACUCUGGUUGUUAUAUCAGUAGAAUAGGUUACAUUAUUGUAACUGACGUCUGAAUGUAAUCCAUAAAAGGAGGGAGAUUAUAUCAAGCUCAGGAGACAAUGGCUAGCAGAUGGUUUAUGCGGGGCACAGAUCCCAUAAAGAGUACCUGGGAGUAUCCAAAUUUAUUUUUGUAAUAUGCUAUACGCAAAUUAUAUGGGGCUUUUAUUAAAUAAUUGCCUUGUAUAUUUUAAUUUUUUAAUUACUAUAUUUAGUUUGUUAUUUUUUAUAUUUACUUUUAUAAAGUAUCUAUAACUAAUUCAGUUAUAUUUCUAUUUAAGUUAGAACUAAAACAAUUUAAUAUAAGUAAGAUUUUACCUAUGUGGAAAAUAGGUGUAUAUAUAGUAUUAAUAAUUAAUAUCUAAUGGUAAAAUAACAAUAUAGAGUAAAAGAAGAUAUAAUUAUAACACUAUUAGUUAUUUUUUUUUACAGAAUACCUGUAUAAGAGAAAUGAUGUUGAUAUAUACUUCAAAAGUUUAAUGGCUUAAUCUUGCUUUACUGUUUGACAUACACGUCUAUCAGUUGCGUAAGCAGGGCAUAAAGACCGCAAGACGCAGUAAGGAAAGGUCUUGUAUUAUUGAAAAAGCUACGCUGGGGAUAACAGGCUAAUUGCGCCAGAGAGUACAAAUUGAGUGCGCAGUUUGGCACCUUGACAUCGGGGAUUUCAUUUCGUGAGAGAUGAUUAGAAGUAACCUAUAUGCUGGGACAUUUUUAA